rnacentral:rRNA from 1 species
GACGAACGCUGGCGGCGUGCUUAACACAUGCAAGUCGAACGGAAAGGCCCUGCUUUUGUGGGGUGCUCGAGUGGCGAACGGGUGAGUAACACGUGAGUAACCUGCCCUUGACUUUGGGAUAACUUCAGGAAACUGGGGCUAAUACCGGAUAGGAGCUCCUGCUGCAUGGUGGGGGUUGGAAAGUUUCGGCGGUUGGGGAUGGACUCGCGGCUUAUCAGCUUGUUGGUGGGGUAGUGGCUUACCAAGGCUUUGACGGGUAGCCGGCCUGAGAGGGUGACCGGCCACAUUGGGACUGAGAUACGGCCCAGACUCCUACGGGAGGCAACAGUGGGGAAUAUUGCACAAUGGGCGGAAGCCUGAUGCAGCAACGCCGCGUGCGGGAUGACGGCCUUCGGGUUGUAAACCGCUUUCGCCUGUGACGAAGCGUGAGUGACGGUAAUGGGUAAAGAGGCACCGGCUAACUACGUG